UUACACAUGCAGUCGAGGGGUAUAGUAGCAAUACUAGAGACCGGCGCACGGGUGCCCUUUGAGUAUGCAAUCUACCUUUUGCAGAGGGAUAGCCCCGUGAAAUUUGGAUUAAUACCUCAUAGUAUAGCAGUUUCGCAUGAAACCACUAUUAAAGUCACAACGGCAAAAGAUGAGCAUGCGUCCCAUUAGCUAGUUGGUAAGGUAACGGCUUACCAAGGCUACGAUGGGUAGGGGUCCUGAGAGGGAGAUCCCCCACACUGGUACUGAGACACGGACCAGACUCCUACGGGAGGCAGCAGUGAGGAAUAUUGGACAAUGGGCGCAAGCCUGAUCCAGCCAUGCCGCGUGCAGGAUGACGGUCCUAUGGAUUGUAAACUGCUUUUGUACAGGAAGAAACACUCCCUCGUGAGGGAGCUUGACGGUACUGUAAGAAUAAGGAUCGGCUAACUCCGUGCCAGCAGCCGCGGUAAUACGGAGGAUCCAAGCGUUAUCCGGAAUCAUUGGGUUUAAAGGGUCCGUAGGCGGCUUUAUAAGUCAGUGGUGAAAUCUCCCCGCUCAACGGGGAAACGGCCAUUGAUACUGUAAGGCUUGAAUUAUUAGGAAGUAACUAGAAUAUGUAGUGUAGCGGUGAAAUGCUUAGAGAUUACAUGGAAUACCAAUUGCGAAGGCAGGUUACUACUAAUGGAUUGACGCUGAUGGACGAAAGCGUGGGUAGCGAACAGGAUUAGAUACCCUGGUAGUCCACGCCGUAAACGAUGGAUACUAGCUGUUGGGCGCAAGCUCAGUGGCUAAGCGAAAGUGAUAAGUAUCCCACCUGGGGAGUACGUUCGCAAGAAUGAAACUCAAAGGAAUUGACGGGGGCCCGCACAAGCGGUGGAGCAUGUGGUUUAAUUCGAUGAUACGCGAGGAACCUUACCAAGGCUUAAAUGUAGAUUGACCGGUUUGGAAACA
rnacentral:rRNA from 1 species